CAGGAAACAUGGCUUCUCUGGACCUCCAGGAGAAAACGCUACUGAUGGCAACUGACUUUUUGAGCCAUCCUCCAGUGGCUAUUUGAAGGUUCUUGCUCAGGUGCAAUGAUCAGGCUGCUGUCCAUGUUUCCGGCAGCUUCACAGCAACGCUUGGAUGCCUUGAUCCAGGGCGAAUCCCAUCCCAUUCUCCAACACAUGAGCCCUGCUCCUGUCGGCCCGAUAGACACUCAUGCCACAUACAGAGUUAAUUCAAAAGCUUGCUCCUGAACCAGACGAAAGAUUGCAUUUGUGCCAGUGACUUGAACCGAUUCCCUCGACGCCGUGACACUUGAUGCGCCAAAGUUUCUUUGUUGCGGGAAUUUUCCGCACUCUUCCUCCACUAACCUGAAAGCACAAACGAGUGGAACUUUUUGAGAGACAAAAAAAUUGUGGGGUGGGGGGGGGGAUACACACACACA